rnacentral:rRNA from 1 species
ACGCUCGACACCUACGGGAGGCAGCAGUUGGGAAUAUUGGACAAUGGAGGAAACUCUGAUCCAGUGACGCCGCGUGAAGGAAGAAGGUCUUCGGAUUGUAAACUUAUUUUGUCAGGGAAGAAAAAAUGACUGUACCUGAAGAAAAAGCACCGGCUAACUACGUGCCAGCAGCCGUGGUAAUCUGAGCGGGCUGGCAAGGC